rnacentral:snRNA from 1 species
CUGGAUAAUCCAAUCGGCUACAC